AGCAUAGGAGGUCCCGCCUGCCCUGUGACCAAAAGUUUAACGGCCGCGGUAUUUUAACCGUGCAAAGGUAGCGCAAUCAAUUGUCUUUUAAAUGAAGACCUGUAUGAAUGGCAUAACGAGGGUUUAACUGUCUCUUUUUUCAGGUCAAUGAAACUGAUCUGUCCGUGCAGAAGCGGACAUAUUAACACAAGACGAGAAGACCCUAUGGAGCUUUAGACGCCCACCAACCACGAAAAGCAGCCUACCUAAACAGAUGCUCUAAACAACGCGGUCCUGGUACAAACGUCUUCGGUUGGGGCGACCGCGGAGGAGAACAAAGCCUCCGAGAGGAAUGGGAACAAACCCUAAAACCAAGAGCCACAGCUCUAAGUCACAAAAAAUUUGACCGACAAUGAUCCGGCUUACUGCCGAUCAACGGACCAAGUUACCCUAGGGAUAACAGCGCAAUCCCCUCCCAGAGUCCAUAUCGACGAGGGGGUUUACGACCUCGAUGUUGGAUCAGGACAUCCUAAUGGUGCAGCCGCUAUUAAGGGUUCGUUUGUUCAACGAUUAAA
rnacentral:rRNA from 1 species